AGAGAGAGACAUGCGCGCAUAUCAAUAAGCGGAGGAAAAGAAACUAACUAGGAUUCCCCUAGUAACGGCGAGUGAAGCGGGAAGAGCUCAAAUUUGAAAUCUUCAAGGUUUUACCUUGACGAAUUGUAGUUUAAAGAAGUGUUUUCGGUUAGAGGAGUUCGGUAAAAGUUCUUUGGAAUAGGACAUCAUAGAGGGUGAGAAUCCCGUAUUUGACCAUUUACUUCCAGCUGUGUGAUACACUUUCAAAGAGUCGGAUUGUUUGGGAAUGCAGUCCAAAAUGGGUGGUAAAUUUCAUCUAAAGCUAAAUAUUGGCGAGAGACCGAUAGCGAACAAGUACCGUGAGGGAAAGAUGAAAAGAACUUUGAAAAGAGAGUUAAACAGUACGUGAAAUUGUCAAAAGGGAAGCGUUUGACACCAGUGUUGUUUUCUCGAAAAUCAAUUAAAAAAGGCUGGAUUUUGUGUUGUAUUGACCUUUAAUCAGCUUUCUUCACUCUUUUCUUGUCUUUUUUAAUGCACUUUUCGUUUAACAAGUCAACAUCAGUUUCUUUUGUUGUAAAAGGGUCAUUGAGGAAGGUGGCUUUCUUUUCGGAGAAAGUGUUUAUAGCCCUUUGGCCUCUGCAAUCGGAGAGAUUGAGGUCUGCAGCGUAGAUCCUUCGGGGUUAGAUACAUUUGUGCUAAGUUAUAGCCUUUUCAUAGACAACAUUGUUGACUAUGAUCAUCAUGUAGCUUACUCGCUUAUGCUAUUUUACCUACGCUUAGGAUGUUGACAGCAGUAUAGACUGU
rnacentral:rRNA from 1 species